UACGAAGGGGACUAGCGUUGUUCGGAAUCACUGGGCGUAAAGCGCACGUAGGCGGAUUCGUAAGUUAGGGGUGAAAUCCCGGGGCUCAACCUCGGAACUGCCUUUGAUACUGCGGGUCUCGAGUCCGAUAGAGGUGGGUGGAAUUCCUAGUGUAGAGGUGAAAUUCGUAGAUAUUAGGAAGAACACCGGUGGCGAAGGCGGCCCACUGGAUCGGUACUGACGCUGAGGUGCGAAAGCGUGGGGAGCAAACAGG
rnacentral:rRNA from 1 species